UUCUUAUCACGAGAGGUGGAGGGACUGGCCCUUUGAAGCCUCGGCAGCAGGCAGAAAUGUACUGUGCCAAUUCCAGCAGACGAUAGUCUGGCAGAUAAGAG
rnacentral:ncRNA from 1 species